CGAACCGGCGACGCAGAGCACUGUCCCGCAGUGCCUCAAACCUGAAAGAGCAGCGGGGUGGAGAUGGGGCAGAGAGAAAGGAAGGACGCCAAGACAAGAGUCUGAUCAAGGCGACGUUUAUUGCCGGCAAGCACCGGCCUUUUAAAGGGAAAGGCCGAACUAUUAUGGGCUAGGAUCACCAUAGUAACCUCAACACCCGCUCCACGGGAACGAGGGUUCACACGGGCCUCAACACCCGCUCCACGGGAACGAGGGUUCACACGGGCAAGAGAAAGCAGGCUCAAGAAAAACAAAUUAACAACACCUGCAACUAAUAAUCAUGAUUCCCACAAUAGGUGGAGGAACCCAACAAAAUGGAGUAUAGGGUCAGCACCUUCUACUCUAUGGCAAGACGGCAGCCUCAGAAAAGACCAUGGCAGAUGACGAGGGAAACCCCUUACAUCUUUACAUAGCUCUCAGUCCUCAAAUGAAAGAGCAAGAUUACCUGAGACAAGAUGGAGAGAGUGGUGGCAGAGGAUGUACUUACCCCAUGGAAUGGUGCUUCACCACCUAUGUCUAAGGGGCCUCAAGAUUUUUUUUUUUGAAUGAAAAGGAACUCUAUUUUCCAAAGAUUAUGACUUAUGGAAAUCCACCCAUGAAUUCCUAAGCAUCUUAAAUAAGAAAACAAGUCUGAAAAAUGGGCCUUCCUGACUUCAAGACUUUUCAUUUGCUGUCAUGAUCACUGCUAAUUGUUGGCCACUGGAACUGCUAUAGCCCAUACUUACCUUGACAACCGGGUCUGGAAGAAUGGGCUCAAGCCCCAUUCUGCCUCUCGGGAGCCAUUCUGCUCUGUAACAUGCUUGCUCUGCGUUAGGCCAUUGACGCUGGUGUAACAUAGCACACAGCACCAAAGGCAGAGCAUUUCCUCAUGGAGUUACCAACCAGAUCUCUAUCUCAGACCUUCUUUUCCAAGGUGGAUGUGGACUCAGACAAACCAGGAGCAGACGAUCUGUCCUACAGACCCAAAGCCUCCAAAGAGGCAACAGAAACAUUUAUACUGAAAGCCAGCAGCUUCUACACGCCAGCUGGCGCUGCUCUCUCGAAUCACCUUUGUUUUCCUUGGAGCAACGUCUCCGCAGCACAGAGCAUUACGUUUGGGAGGCCUGCCCCCUGCUGGACUAGAGAAAGAGUACACAACGAGUUUCAAAGCUCCCAGGAAUAGGAUCGGCCG
rnacentral:lncRNA from 1 species